AUGUCCCCGAAGAGGGUGAGUUUGGCGUCGCUCUCUAUGGCUUUGGCCAGGCAGGAGGCGAAGGUGUCCAGGGACUCGUGGACUUCGGCGUGGACCUGCACUGACGCCAUGUGCUCAGCUGCCGAUGAGGAAGAAGCAGAUGGAUGGAAGGGAUAAUGUGGCUGGGAUGAGCCAUCAGUGGAAAAGUUGUCCAGCAGCAUCACAUCUGUGCCUGUGGGGGCGACCAUGCAAACGGGCUCUCAAAUAUAAAAAACAGUCGCAAGGGAAACAAACUGUUCAAUGAUCAAACUGUAUCCAUCAUCAAAUAUCUAUGAAGACCAUAUAAAGCAGUGUUUCCCAACCUUUCAUGAGCCAGUCUCACAUAUUUUGCAUUAGAAAAAUGGUACAGUGCAGCUCCAUAUAACAAUGUCACAAAAAGCGUAUACUGAAAUAAUGGUGAUCUGGUCAAAAUUAACGAAUGGAAUGGGUUCCCAAAAAAUAAUAAUUCUGUGAAAAUGUGACGUCAAACCGUGAAUAUGUGGCCAUUCACUGUAAAUACAGUUUUUUGCUAAACCCCACUAAAACUACUCACGCUUUAAAAACAAAAACGGGUGAGUCAUUUUCAUGCUAACUGUCAUGCUUUUAGCUACAAGUUGUUUGUAUUAGCAUCUGCUAGGUAGAAUUAAUUGGUUUAUGUUAAAUGAUAUUUAAUUGUGUUGCUCAUAUGGUACUCAACAGGCAGAGCCUUUCCUAUGUCACAGUAAGUACAGUUCGUGGUGGCAUCACACAAACAAGCCGAAGAAAAAAACAAUACACAAGCUUUGUUCUUCUGCUUUGUGCCACGCGAUUCAGGCAUAUGUCAUUUUUUCCCCCCCAUCUUUUAUUUAGGAGUAUAAAGAGGGUUAGCGGGAAUGUACUCUGGUAAACGUAUCCAAUUUAUGUAAAUGUAAAAGUUGCCAGAAAUAUAUAUGUACAGAUAUGUGAACAUUCAGGUUUUGUACAGAAAUGAAGUAUUUGUACUUCGUUACAUGUCCAAACUGAUAGCGUGUGCGCGACACUUACACGAGUCCUGAGUGAAACUGAAGCCCGUGUCUCCAGUGCUGCUCCCCGGGGCCAGCAGCUGCCCUCCGCCGGCCAACAUGGCCGUUAGGUGGGGUGACAUCCCCAAGUCUGGUGAAAACCAAAUUUAGAAUUUUCAAAAUUUGAACUUGAAUGCGUUUCUUUACAACUUGACUGGCCAGACAUUAUUGAAGUGGAAACUUCUCCCCCGAUCACAUGUCAGCUGGCUUGUGAAGGUCUUAAAUUCAUAUCAAAGUUGAAAAUGUGAUUCUCACACUCUAGUUCUGUUAGUGUUCUUGGCAAAACCUGGCAGCCCUUCAAGGAGUACUUUGAUAGUGACUAGUUUCCCCCCUUCCCAUCUGCCUUGUUUUAUUUGAUUUGACUUUUCAUUUAACUUGGAGUGGAACCUCGGUUAGUGACAAUUUUUUUUCCGCAGAACGUUUGUCCCAGUUUUCGUACAGCCACUCUGUUUUCAUAUAAUUGAAAAUUGUCCGCGCCAAACUUGUACCAUUAAUCAUUUUUCAUUGAUUUAAUGAGACUCAUCAUUUACUAUUAUCUCAUAGAUUUGAAUUUUAGAUGGAAGGAAAGAGGACAAUAGAGGACAUGAAAGGGGAAAAGACCAGGACAAGGGUAGUGGAAUGUGUCGACUGGAAUGUGGUGGGAGUGGCUAUGUCAAUUCUAAACAUUUAUAGAAACUGAGUGCAAAUGAGGGGACAUCCCAAGAAGUUCGUUAGAUCAGAAGACUUGUUUAUAGCAAUUGAGUCCCAGGAGAGCGUGUCUGCAGAAACAUGCAAUUGAAUAGACCCAGUCUCGCAUGCACAAUAAACAUUUGAGGGUUUUCUGGAAUUGCUGUGCCAACACAACGGGGGUGGUGGACCCCACCCAGCUGAGAAGGGAGGACGGGCCUGGGAGUCCACCUGAGAACGGUUCGGCCGAGCAGCCCCAUCAAAGCGCCACAAAACUGGCCACACGGAGCAGUACGCAAGGAAAAAUGGAGGACCACUCAUGCUAGGACAAUAAUCUUAUCUUUAUGUGUGGGGACUGUCGCAGAUUUAAAAAAAAAUAAAUAAAAUUAAAUAUUUUUUUUUUAA